CAGGUGGUCUUGGUGAAGGUGACGAAAGCAUGCAGAUUCUCGAUAUAAUUUGAAGAUGGAGCUGACCUGAUGGAUUGCAUGUGUGAAGUGAAAGAAAGAGGCGCUGGGGAAGCAGGGCUGCGAGGGAGCAAGCUCAGGCGGAGUCCUGCCAGGGCCCAUAGUCCAUCCCGCAGGGAGCUCUGGAGGCUGUUCCAUCUCCGAGUUGUCCGCACCCGUCAGUCGUUGCCUAAAGGCUGCCCUGGGGGAACGUAAGCUCCAAGGCCCUUCUGAUGCUCUGAGUGGGCAGGCAAAGGGAUGCUGGCACGUGGUCCAGAGCCCAGGGGAGGUUCUCUGAAAAGAGCUGCAGGUGCCGGCGCUUGUGCAAAAGCAGACAAAAUGCUUGUAGAGAUGCAAAGAAACAAUAAUGUGGAUGGAAGGGAUCCAGGCAGGUGGGUUUAUUUUGCACCCACUUUAUACAAAAUCUCCAAAGGAAGCUGUGACAUAGAUGGUCAGAUACGUGCGUCUGGACCUCAGGGGGGAAAGCCAGGCGGGAGGCAGGCAACGGAAGGGCUCAGUGCUCUGACGGCCUUAAGUCGAGGGACUGGCUGGGGUCGCCUGUGGGUGAGUGUCGAGAGAGGCGAGGUGAGGCCUGGGGAGGAGAGAGCCACAGGGGGUGCCUGGAGCUAUGUGGAAGGCGCCACAGGUGCUGGUGGCUGCGGUGGUGGUGGCGGGAGGACACGGCUGGGAGUGACUAUCUCCUUGUGAAAUCAGGCGGCCAGCAGCUCAGAGCGGAGCAUGCAGAGAGGGUGGAAGCUGUGAGAAGACAGAAAGCGUGGGAAACCAGCUCACCGCGUGGGAGAGCGCCCCACAAACAGGGACGCUGGGCUGCAGGAGGCGCGGGCAGAACUGGACGUGGCCGGGCUGAUGGAGAGGCGUAGGGACUCAAGCAGUCCCCUGGGCAAGGGCACGAUGCCGGAGCGAUCCCCUCCCUCUGCUGCCCGAGGUCUCGCACAGCUUUCAACAGACUCAGCCCCACGGAUGUCUCACUCUAAGCCAGGCUGGACGGGCACGAGGCCAACAAGCAACACGCAUGUCCACAGCCGCUGCUCCAGCCCUCGCAACACGCCCGCCACACCGGCAACCGUUUGAGGUUGAAAAACUGUCCAAGUCCGUCCUGGGCUCCUCCAAGGAGGUCGUGGUUUGAUCUGAAGUCUCAUGCCUGUCAUUACCAUCCUAUCUGUGCCUGCGAAACGGAUGUGACAAGCGCUGCCUCAGAGGAGCGAGAGCCUCAAAACCAGGUUCUUCAGGAAUGCACGCAAGGGCCCCUCCCAGGGACGGCCUGUGGACCUGGAGUCAGAAACGAGGGACUGUCCCUGUUCUGCCACUUGGCAGCGCUGUGGGCUUAGACAAGCUGCCCGGCCUCUGAGUCCGGCCCUCGUGUGUCAAACAGACACCGCUGGGCUCUAACUUAAAUGUCAAAGCCAGUUAUCAUUCUCACAGUCACGGUGACCUUGAACCACCGAAACUUACUUUAGCCAAUCUCGUCUAAACACACGCCCCCUUACUUUUACCAAACCCUUCUUCAAUCUCAACCUCUACUCGUUUAAGACAGAUCUGCAAGUAAGGGAAAAAACAGUAAGAUGCAGAAUGUCUUAUUUACGUGAAAAAAGGCCAUAAAAACACAAUUUAGCAUCUUUAGGCGUAAAACAUCUCUGCAGCGAGACACAAAAACCUUGACGCUGGCUGCCAAGGAGGAGCGUAGACACGUAGACAAGGAGGGAGACUGACUUUGUCCUUUCACAUCCUUUUGCACAUCUGACAUUUACAUCAUGGCAAUACCUGAUCGGCUCAAAAUCCUAAGUAAAGCGUAAAUGAAAAAG
rnacentral:lncRNA from 1 species